rnacentral:rRNA from 1 species
UACAUGGGGUGCAACCGUUGCUCGGAAUUAUUGGGCGUAAAGCGCACGUAGGUGGUUUGUUAUGUCGGAUGUGAAAGCCCUCGGCUCAACUGAGGAAGUGCAUCCGAAACUGGCAAGCUAGAGUAUGUAAGAGGGUCGCGGAAUUCCCGGUGUAGAGGUGAAAUUCGUAGAUAUCGGGAGGAACACCGGUGGCGAAGGCGGCGACCUGGGACAAUACUGACACUGAGGCGCGAAAGCUAGGGGAGCAAACGGG